rnacentral:rRNA from 1 species
CCUACGGGUGGCAGCAGUGGGGAAUAUUGCACAAUGGGGGAAACCCUGAUGCAGCGACGCCGCGUGAGUGAAGAAGUUUUUCGGUAUGUAAAGCUCCAUCAGCAGGGAAGAAGAAAGACGGUACCUGACUUAGCCGCCCCGGCUAACUACGUGCCAGCAGCCGCGGUAAUACGUAGGGGGCACGCGUUAUCCGGAUUUACUGGGUGUAAAGGGAGCGUAGACGGCUGUGCAAGUCUGAAGUGAAAGCCCAGGGCUCAACCCUGGGACUGCUUUGGAAACUGUGGAGCUAGAGUGCUGGGGAGGUAAGUGGAAGUCCUAGUGUAGCGGUGAAAUGCGUAGAUAUGAGGAGGAACACCAGUGGCGAAGGCGGCUUACUGGACAGUAACUGACGUUGAGGCUCGAAAGCGUGGGGAGCAAACAGGAUUAGAUACCCGUGUGUC